GUUUUUUCCUAAGCCGCACCCUUUUCAAUUGGGCUUAGGCCCAAUUUGCCAUUUAGAAAUAAAUCAGGUUUAGACACCCUAUAGCUUUUUUUUUUAACUAUUUAUUUUUAUUUAUUUAUUUAUUUAUUUAUUUAUUCUUUUUUCUUUUUCUCUUCAUAGGUUUUGUUCUUUAUUAUGUUAUUUUUAAUAUCUCCUUAUUUUCUUCUUCUUUAAAAAAUGAAAAAAAUUAUUUUAAAAGGU
rnacentral:lncRNA from 1 species